GACGAACGCUGGUGGCGUGCUUAACACAUGCAAGUCGAACGGAAAGGCCCUGCUUUUGUGGGGUGCUCGAGUGGCGAACGGGUGAGUAACACGUGAGUAACCUGCCCUUGACUUUGGGAUAACUUCAGGAAACUGGGGCUAAUACCGGAUAGGAGCUCCUGCUGCAUGGUGGGGGUUGGAAAGUUUCGGCGGUUGGGGAUGGACUCGCGGCUUAUCAGCUUGUUGGUGGGGUAGUGGCUUACCAAGGCUUUGACGGGUAGCCGGCCUGAGAGGGUGACCGGCCACAUUGGGACUGAGAUACGGCCCAGACUCCUACGGGAGGCAGCAGUGGGGAAUAUUGCACAAUGGGCGGAAGCCUGAUGCAGCAACGCCGCGUGCGGGAUGACGGCCUUCGGGUUGUAAACCGCUUUCGCCUGUGACGAAGCGUGAGUGACGGUAAUGGGUAAAGAAGCACCGGCUAACUACGUGCCAUCAGCCGCGGUGAUACGUAGGGUGCGAGCGUUGUCCGGAUUUAUUGGGCGUAAAGGGCUCGUAGGUGGUUGAUCGCCUCGGAAGUGUAAUCUUGGGGCUUAACCCUGAGCGUGCUUUCGAUACGGGUUGACUUGAGGAAGGUAGGGGAGAAUGGAAUUCCUGGUGGAGCGGUGGAAUGCGCAGAUAUCAGGAGGAACACCAGUGGCGAAGGCGGUUCUCUGGGCCUUUCCUGACGCUGAGGAGCGAAAGCGUGGGGAGCGAACAGGCUUAGAUACCCUGGUAGUCCACGCUGUAAACGGUGGGUACUAGGUGUGGGGUCCAUUCCACGGGUUCCGUGCCGUAGCUAACGCUUUAAGUACCCCGCCUGGGGAGUACGGCCGCCAGGCUAAAACUCAAAGGAAUUGACGGGGCCCCCGCACAAGCGGCGGAGCAUGCGGAUUAAUUCGAUGCAACGCGUAGAACCUUACCUGGGUUUGACAUGGAUCGGGAGUGCUCAGAGAUGGGUGUGCCUCUUUUGGGGUCGGUUCACAGGUGGUGCAUGGCUGUCGUCAGCUCGUGUCGUGAAAUGUUGGGUUAAGUCCCGCAACGAGCGCAACCCUUGUUCACUGUUGCCAGCACGUUAUGGUGGGGACUCAGUGGAGACCGCCGGGGUCAACUCGGAGGAAGGUGGGGAUGACGUCAAGUCAUCAUGCCCCUUAUGUCCAGGGCUUCACGCAUGCUACAAUGGCUGGUACAGAGAGUGGCGAGCCUGUGAGGGUGAGCGAAUCUCGGAAAGCCGGUCUCAGUUCGGAUUGGGGUCUGCAACUCGGCCUCAAGAAGUCGGAGUCGCUUGUAAUCGCAGAUCAGCAACGCUGCGGUGAAUACGUUCCCGGGGCU
rnacentral:rRNA from 1 species